UACGUAGGGUGCGAGCGUUAAUCGGAAUUACUGGGCGUAAAGCGUGCGCAGGCGGUUUUGUAAGCCAGAUGUGAAAUCCCCGGGCUUAACCUGGGAAUGGCAUUUGGGACUGCAAGGCUUGAGUGCGGCAGAGGAGACUGGAAUUCCUGGUGUAGCAGUGAAAUGCGUAGAUAUCAGGAGGAAUACCGAUGGCGAAGGCAGGUCUCUGGGACUGACACUGACGCUCAUGCACGAAAGCGUGGGGAGCAAACGAGG
rnacentral:rRNA from 1 species